AUCUACUGGGGAUCGGCUCUCCUGCAGGUAGAUGGAAAAAGGGGGGCAAUAGUUGAAGGAGAGGGUGCCUGCCUAUAAAGGGGGGGCUAAGUACGGUGCCAGCUGCCGCGGUAAUACGUAGGGCGCAAGCGUUGUCCGGAAUUAUUGGGCGUAAAGAGCUCGUAGGCGGUCUGUCGCGUCUGCUGUGAAAUCCCGAGGCUCAACCUCGGGCUUGCAGUGGGUACGGGCAGACUAGAGUGCGGUAGGGGAGAAUGGAAUUCCUGGUGUAGCGGUGGAAUGCGCAGAUUUCAGGAGGAACACCGAUGGCGAAGGCAGUUCUCUGGGCCGUAACUGACGCUGAGGAGCGAAAGUGUGGGGAGCGAAUAGUUUUUGAUACCCUGGUAGUCCACGCCGUAAACGUUGGGGGCUAGUUGUGGGGACUCUUUCCACGGUCUCCGUGACUUAGCUAACGCAUUAAGCGCCCCGCCUGGGGAGUACGGUCGCAAGG
rnacentral:rRNA from 1 species